CUUUUCUAGAUUGGAUUUGAGAUAUAACCUGCCCACUGAAUUUAUUUUUGAAGGGCCGCGGUAUUUUGACCGUGCAAAGGUAGCAUAAUAAUUUGUCUUUUGAUUGAAGGCUGGAAUGAAUGGUUUGAUGAAAUAUAGUCUGUCUUAUGUUGAUAAUUGAUAUUAGAAUUUAAUUAUUAUGUGAAAAAGCGUGGAUGUUUUUAUGGGACGAGAAGACCCUUUAGAAUUUAAUAAUUUAGUGUUGAUUAUAAUAUAUAUAAUUAUUUUAUAUUAAAUUAUUUUGUUGGGGUGAUGGAAAGAUAUUAAUAACUCUUUUUUUUAAUUAAUGUUUAUGUGUAGUUUUAUGAUCUUUGUUUGUGAGUAUAAGAUUAAAUUACCUUAGGGAUAACAGCGUAAUAUUUAUUGAGAGUUCAAAUUGACAUAGAAGGAUUGCGA
rnacentral:rRNA from 1 species